rnacentral:rRNA from 1 species
ACUGCUCAGUAACACGUGGCUAAUCUGCCCUUAGGACGAGAACAACCCCGGGAAACUGGGGCUAACUCUUGAUAGGUGAAGAACUCUGGAUUGACUCUUUGCCUAAUAACAUUCACGUUAUCCUCAUGAACCUGCCUAACGAGGAGGCCGCGACCGAUCAGGUUGUUGGCGAGGUAAUGGCUCACCAAGCCUUUUACCGGUGUGGGCCGUGGGAGCGGGAGCCCGGAGAUGGAUACUGAGACAAGGACCCAGGCCCUACGGGGCGCAGCAGUCCCGAAACCUUUGCAAUAAGCGCAAGCUUGACAGGGAUAUCCCGAGUGCCAUCCGCUGAGGAAGGCUUUUACCCAUUCUAGAACUCUGGGGGAAUAAGGACAGGGCGAGUCUGGUGUCAGCCGCCGCGGUAAUACCAGCUCUCCGAGUGGUGUGGAUGUUUAUUGGGCCUAAAGCAUCCGUAGCUGGCUAGGUAAGUCCCUUGUUAAAUCUACCGAAUUAAUCGUUGGAUCGCGGGGGAUACUGCUUGGCUAGGGGACGAGAGAGGCAGACGGUAUUUUCGGGGGUAGGGGUGAAAUCCUAUAAUCCCGGGAAGACCACCAGUGGCGAAGGCUGUCUGCUAGAACGCGCCCGACGGUGAGGGAUGAAAGCUGGGGGAGCGAACCGGAUUAGAUACCCGGGUAGUCCCAGCUGUAAACGAUGCAGACUAGGUGUUAGGAUGUCGACGUGUCGGUCUAGUGCCGCAGGUAAUCUGUUUUGUCUGCGGUCUGGGGAGUACGAUCGCAAGAGUGAAACUUAAAGGAAUUGGCGGGGGAGCAC